rnacentral:rRNA from 1 species
CCUACGGGUGGCAGCAGUGAGGAAUAUUGGUCAAUGGACGAGAGUCUGAACCAGCCAAGUAGCGUGAAGGAUGACUGCCCUAUGGGUUGUAAACUUCUUUUAUAUGGGAAUAAAAUGUUCCACGUGUGGGAUUUUGUAUGUACCAUAUGAAUAAGGAUCGGCUAACUCCGUGCCAGCAGCUGCGGUAAUACGGAGGAUCCGAGCGUUAUCCGGUUUUAUUGGGUUUAAAGGGAGCGUAGGUGGAUUGUUAAGUCAGUUGUGAAAGUUUGCGGCUCAACCGUAAAAUUGCAGUUGAAACUGGCAGUCUUGAGUACAGUAGAGGUUGGCGGAAUUCGUGGUGUAGCGGUGAAAUGCUUAGAUAUCACGAAGAACUCCGAUUGCGAAGGCAGUUCACUGGACUGCAACUGACACUGAGGCUCGAAAGUGUGGGUAUCAAACAGGAUUAGAUACCCGGGUAGUC